rnacentral:rRNA from 1 species
UCUUGUCAUUGUGUGCCCGCCGCCGCGGUAAUCCGUCGGGAGCGCGCGUUGUCCGGAAUUACUGGGUGUAAAGGGAGCGUAGGCGGGAUGGCAAGUCAGAUGUGAAAACUAUGGGCUCAACCCAUAGACUGCAUUUGAAACUGUUGUUCUUGAGUGAGGUAGAGGUAAGCGGAAUUCCUGGUGUAGCGGUGAAAUGCGUAGAGAUCAGGAGGAACAUCGGUGGCGAAGGCGGCUUACUGGGCCUUUACUGACGCUGAGGCUCGAAAGCGUGGGGAGCAAACAGG